UGGCUGUCAGGCUCAGCUGUGCCCUGAGGUUCAGCCAUCAGCACCAUCUGUAGCCACUUGGAACCAGCUGGAAUGGGGCAGACCCACCCUCUCCUCACAGAGCAGCCCUGCAGUCCCCACUACCAAAACCUUACCAGUUGUGACCAGUGCCAGAACAAGAGGCAAUAAACACAAACUCAGAAUGUUCCAUCUGGAUAGAAAGCAGCCUCUUUAAUGUGCGGGUGACUGAGCACUGGCCCACGUUGCCUAGAGAGUUUGUGGAGUUCCCCUCUUUGGAGAUUUUCAGAAGACACCUGGGCAACUUGCUUGAGCAGGGUUGGACUAGAUGGCCUCCAGAGGUGCUGGGGGAUGCUGUCAGCCUCACCCUGCUCUGAAACCAUCUCUUCACACCUAAUAAAUCCAGCUCCUAUAGCUGUACAGGCAAGUUCUCAGUGCCCUGAGAAUCCUAGCGACUCUCUGUUGUGUUCACUGCAUUAUAUUGGUGCUUUUUCUGUCUUGGGGACUCAGCGAUGGAUGCAGUGCCAUAGUAAUAGCAGAGUUUUCCAACAUUUGGAAAAUUUAAUGAACUGAAGAUGGAAUUGUGAACUUAAAAGAACAUUUGAGUAGAAAUCUACAAGGAAAAUUGAAAUCUAAUACAACUUCCUUCCUUUAAAGAAUACAAUAAAAUUGACAGAUUUAUGUGCUACUUUAUUUUGCUUUUAAUCUGCAAACACCUUCUUUAUUAGAUGGAUUAUGGCAAUGAGGAAACAUUUACUGAACCAAUAAAACAUUCAGUUUCUAUUACAUUAAAAAGAACUUGAUGAAAGUUUUUGCAGAUAAUACUCCAAAGCAUUUGAUUGCUGUGUAUCUAUACUCAGUCAAAAACCAGUUAUACACAACUGAAAAUUAAACUGUUAAAUGUUUGUUCUAUGUUUUUUAAUGUAAAUUCUCUUGUAAUUCCAGUGUAAGAUCAGAAAGAAAGAUAGGCUUCUUACUGAGUAAUGAUAAGCAUUCAUCAAUGAGAAGGGCAUUUCAUUCUUCUAAUAGACAAAGCAUUGCUUACUUUUCAGUUACAUGAAGAGGAUAAUUGUCAGCAUGCUUAGGAAAACAGUCUCUUUUAAGAUAUAUUUAAAUGAAUUAAAGGAUUUUGUUCUAAUUUCUCCCACCUAAAGUACAAAAUAGAAAGAAUUUGGGGAAAAGCAUUAAAUAAGUUGGUACCUUCUAGAUCUGGAAAUGAUGACAAGCUUUAGGAGCUGAAGAGAAUAUAGAAGGGAAGCAAUAAAGCUGAAAACUCGAUGACCUACUCAUCCCUACCAGGAAGGAAUACCAAUUGAAUUCAGUAGUGAAACUUUACUGUACGAUUUAGCAUACUUUUAAAAAUACCUUGUGGGAUGUAUUUUGAAAGCAUUUAUAGAUCUUUUCAGAGAUGAUGGUAUGAACUAAUACUUUUAUUUGAUUUUUAUCCCUAAUACUGUAUUUGAUUAUUUCCGUACUCAUAAUAGGACACGUAGAAAGGCAGACGUCAUCUCUCUUUCUAACAGCAUUCCUCUUUACGUGACUCAUUUCUUGAUAAAACUUUCUCUCCAACAUCACAAUAGGUGAUCAUGAUGAUUAACUCAAAUAUGUUCCAAAAACAACCUUUGAUGCAAGCACUAUUAAAGCACCAAUCAAUCAGCUUCAAAUUGUGAUUUCUUUGCUUUCCAGUUACCUCAGUGAUGUUGGACUGUUGUAUUCAUUUCCUGUUUUGUGAAACAAUUGCUACAGAUCCAUUUCCUAAAAUAAAAAUUGUCCUAUUUUCUUCUCUAUUGUGCAAGCACAUGUAUGUUUAAUAGUUUCUACUACUGGUAUAGCUAGAGUACCUAGAAAUCAGAUUCUCUAAUUGAUUUGCGUGUAACUCUAAUGUAAAUUACUAGUGGCUGGUGCCACAAUGGAUUAUAUAAAGUAAGUUUUAAGAUACAGUGCUACGUAGAAAAAAUGUGGGAAAACCUCAUGAUUUCAUUUCAGUAGGAAUGUUGUACAAAUUCUUAACAGAUUCCAUUUCAUUUUUUUUUGUUUCAAAAUUCAUUUUAGAGAAUCAGUUUUACUAAUGAGAAAUCUGAUAAUUUGGACUAUUUUAAAGAUGAGUCAUAUGAGAGUUUCUCAACAUACACUGGCUGACCAAACUCUAAUGAUCAGAGAUUAGUGGGAGUAGAGAUUAAUGUAUUACAACGGAUUUGUUGUCUCCGUAGAUCUACUCAAAAUGAUUCUACUUUUUAAUUGCACCAGAGCAAGUUAUCAAAAUAUAGCAAAAAAAUUCUCUGAAGUUCUUAAAGGAAUCU